GUUGUGCAACACGUGGACUUCCCAGGAGGUCACCCAUCCUAGUACUACUCUCGCCCAAGCACGCUUAACUGCGGAGUUCUGAUGGGAUCCGGUGCAUUAGUGCUGGUAUGAUUGCACCC
rnacentral:rRNA from 1 species